rnacentral:tRNA from 2 species
GCCGUCUUAGCUCAGCAGGUAGAGCAAUGCCAUGGUAAGGCAUAGGUCGUGAGUUCGAGUCUCAUAGUCGGCU